rnacentral:tRNA from 4 species
GCCCGGGUGGUGAAACUGGUAGACACGCUAUCUUGAGGGGGUAGUGGCGCAAGCCGUGCCGGUUCGAGUCCGGCCCCGGGCACCA